GGUGAAAGUUCUAGCUGUGUAUUGUGAUGAAAAUAAGGUUAGGUGUGCAGGACCUGGUGAAAGCUUACGGGUUAGAUUAUCUGGGAUUGAAGAAGAGGACAUAUUAUCGGGUUUUAUCUUGUCAAGUGUUGUAAAACCGAUAGCUGCUGUCACUGAAUUUACAGCCCAGCUGUAGAUCCUUGAGUUGCUUGAAAAUGCUAUUUUUACAGCUGGAUAUAAGGCUGUGUUGCAUAUUCAUUCUGUUGUUGAGGAGUGCGAGAUAGUGGAGCUACUACAGCAGAUUGAUCCAAAGACAAAGAAACCCAUGAAAAAGAAAGUUCUUUUUGUGAAGAAUGGUGCUGUUGUUGUGUGUCGCAUUCAGGUGAACAACUUGAUUUGCAUUGAGAAGUUCUCAGAUUUUCCACAACUUGGGAGAUUCACUCUUCGUACUGAAGGAAAAACCGUUGCAGUUGGAAAAGUCACUGAUCUUUCUUCAAGUAGUGGUGCUUAAUACAAUUUUGUUCUUAGAGUGAUGCUAAUGUGUGCUUGGAGGAGAUUCAUGCGACUAAGAUAUUCUCAAUAGUUAAAUUUCUUCUAUUACCAUAUGCAAAAAAUGGAGUUCAUGAACAAAUUAUUAUGCAAAACCAGAAUUAAAUGGACAAGGAUCAUGAGCUAGAUUGCUUCUAUUACAGAGAUUCUAAGUAACUGAAACACUGGUGAAAUGAGCUGAGAUGUGAGAAUGGAAUGAAGUAUUAACCUUAUAAUAUUGUUUUUUCCCGAGUAUCCCUGAGGAUUUGCAACUACAAGUUUGUUAAAGGGCCUAUCUCCACAAGACUCUUGAGCUAGAAGCUAGUAAUAAUAGAAAAUAAUGUGAAAGUCUGCUUGUACAUUUCCUGCUUUUGUGAAGAAGAGAUAUUGUUACAGAGGACGAUUUCAUCUUGCUAAUUUCCUUCCAAAGUAGAACAGCUGUCGAAUUGAAACCAAGAGAAGUUUUAAUUGAUCGAGAGAGUAAGAAUUGAUUUCACCUUGCCAAUGCCAUUGUGAGGAAGAGUAUUACAAUCGAUGGAUGGAAGCUUUUACUCCCAACAACGUCAUCACAUAAUAAUUUGAAGGCGUGAUUUUAUUCAUCCUCUGUACCGGAAUCGCAUUUCAAAUCUCUUGCCUGAUAGACCAAAGACUCCCUUGGCAUUAAGAACCCGGUAAGGGUAAAAGUAGUACAAAAACACAGAAAACACCAUCCAAGACUUGAUGGCAGCUCCAAGAGAUCAAAAGACAAGAGUCACAAAGCCCUGAAACAAAAAGAAGGGCAGCACAAUAGGUCUCUAACCUAAAAAAAGAAAAGGGCUAGAUCCUAAUCAAAAUGAUUUUUUGAUAACCUGCAACAUGUAUUCAAUGUUAUGAAUAUUAGAUAGUAGUAAAAUUUGAGA